AUGGGAGAACAUGCUGAAGUGGCCACUGCCCAUGUCCCAAACGGCGUACUUCUUGGUGCGCGUUGUGGUGUCGGUACCCGUAUUGUGAUUGCCACCACUAGCAUACUGAUGAUCCAUGGAUCAAGAUCAUUCCCAGCGCAUGAUAUGAUCAAAAUAAACCGUGACAAGAAAUUGGAGAACGUUGUAGGCUCCGGUGGUGUACAUGAACAUGGCCUAGGCUUCCUUCUUGCG
rnacentral:lncRNA from 1 species